AAGCGGUGAGGUGGGAAAGGUUCCUCAUGCGCCCUCUGGGUUAAAAGAGAUGCAGGAUACGCCGCCCUGCCAUUU
rnacentral:ncRNA from 1 species